GCGGUUAGUUGGUGAAGGACAAGGGGAAAAGGCUGGUGGAGAGGAUUGGUUGAAAGAUUAAGCCUGGUAAACCAAUUGGAUGUUUGACAUUGCAGACAACUUCAAAAAAGUCCCAGUUUGCAUCUUUAAUCAAUGGUGACCCCAGUGCCUAACUACAGAUGGUGACCUUUCUGAACAUCUCUGGCCCAGCUGUUCAUCCAAAUAGCGGAGCCACUGUGAAUACUAUCAAACUGUACCUCCACUGCCUGAACCCAUUGCUUUGGGAUCUGUGAAGGUGGAACUAUCAGAAGAAGAUGGAGGAACUGGAACUGGAAUGGUGUCUGACUGUUUUCAUCCAGGCCAGUGCCUGGCUAUGCAGCAGGAUACAGCCUUGCCACAGCGCAUCUGAACAGUCUGAAGUGAUCUCUGUUGCUGUCAAAUCUGGCUUUUAAUUUUUCUUGGUGCACCC
ensembl:lncRNA